rnacentral:tRNA from 1 species
GCAUCGGUAGUUCAGUGGUAGGAUUCUCACCUUCCACCCUGGAGGGUCAGGUCCGAGUCCUGGCCAAUGCA